CUCCGGUUGAUCCUGCCGGACUUGACUGCUAUCGGAUUGGUACUAAGCCAUGCGAGUCAUUGUAGCAAUACAAGGCGGACGGCUCAGUAACACGUAGUCAACCUAACUCGUGGACGUGGAUAACCUCGGGAAACUGAGAAUAAACCACGAUAGACCAUAGUGCCUGGAAUGGCUUAUGGUCCAAACAGUUUACUGCCAUGGGAUGGGACUGCGGCCUAUCAGCUUGUUGGUGAGGUAAUGGCCCACCAAGGCGAUUACAGGUACGGGCUCUGAGAGGAGAAGCCCGGAGAUGGGUACUGAGACACGGACCCAGGCCCUAUGGGGCGCAGCAGGCGAGAAACCUUAGCAAUGUGCGAAAGCACGACUGGGUCAGUCCGAGUGAUUCCUGAUAAAGGAGUCUUUUGCUUGUCCUAAAAGCACAGGUGAAUAAGGGGUGGGCAAGUCUGGUGUCAGCCGCCGCGGUAAUACCAGCACCUCGAGUGGUCAGGACGUUUAUUGGGCCUAAAGCAUCCGUAGCCGGCUUUGCAAGUCUUCGGUUAAAUCCACCUGCUCAACAGAUGGGCUGCUGGAGAUACUACAAAGCUAGGGAGUGGGAGAGGCAGACGGUAUUCAGUGGGUAGGGGUAAAAUCCUCUGAUCCAUUGAGGACCACCAGUGGCGAAGGCGGUCUGCCAGAACACGUUCGACGGUGAGGGAUGAAAGCUGGGGGAGCAAACCGGAUUAGAUACCCGGGUAGUCCCAGCUGUAAACGAUGCAAACUCGGUGAUGCAUUGGCUUAUGGCCAAUGCAGUGCCGCAGGGAAGCCGUUAAGUUUGCCGCCUGGGACCUACGGACGCAAGUCUGAAACUUAAAGGAAUUGGGGGGGGAACA
rnacentral:rRNA from 1 species